UCUCAGUUCGGAUUGCAGGCUGCAACUCGCCUGCAUGAAGCUGGAAUUGCUAGUAAUCGCGGAUCAGCAAGCCGCGGUGAAUACGUUCCCGGGCCUUGUACACACCGCCCGUCACACCAUGAGAGUCGGGAACACCCGAAGUCCGUAGUCUAACCGCAAGGGGGGCGCGGCCGAAGGUGGGUCCGGUAAUUGGGGUGAAGUCGUAACAAGGUACC
rnacentral:rRNA from 1 species